rnacentral:rRNA from 1 species
UACUAUGGCCAUGCCACCCUGAACAAGCCCGAUCUCAUCUGGUCUGGGAAGCUAAGCAGGGUCGGGCCUGGUUAGUACUUGGAUGGGAGACCACCUAGGAAGACCAGGUGCUGUAGGCA